GGACUACCCGGGUAUCUAAUCCUGUUUGCUCCCCACGCUUUCGCACAUCAGCGUCAAUAUCUGCCCAGAUCGCCGCCUUCGCCACUGGUGUUCCUCCCGAUAUCUACGAAUUUCACCUCUACACCGGGAAUUCCGCGAUCCUCUUCAGUAUUCAAGCUCAGUAGUUUCGAAUGCACUUCCUUGGUUAAGCCAAGGGAUUUCACACCCGACUUGCUGAACCGCCUACGUGCGCUUUACGCCCAAUGAUUCCGAGCAACGUUUGCACCCUCCGUAUUACCGCGGCGGCUGGCAC
rnacentral:rRNA from 1 species